rnacentral:tRNA from 1 species
CCAUGGCUCAGUGGCAAAGCAUCUGCUUGGCAUAUAGAAGCUCCCAGGUUCAAUCCCUGGCAAAAGGA